CCUACGGGUGGCAGCAGUGAGGAAUAUUGGUCAAUGGGCGAGAGCCUGAACCAGCCAAGUCGCGUGAGGGAUGACGGUCCUAUGGAUUGUAAACCUCUUUUGCAGGGGAGCAAAUAGCGGUACGUGUACCGCAUCGCGCGUACCCCGAGAAUAAGCAUCGGCUAACUCCGUGCCAGCAGCCGCGGUAAUCCGGAGGAUCCGAGCGUUAUCCGGAUUUAUGGGGUUUAAAGGGUGCGCAGGCGGCGCGUUAAGUCCGCGGUAAAAUUUCGGGGCUCAACCCAGACGAGCCGUUGAAACUGGCAUGCUAGAGUGGGCGAGAAGUAUGCGGAAUGCGUGGUGUAGCGGUGAAAUGCAUAGAUAUCACGAAGAACUCCGAUUGCGAAGGCAGCAUGCUGGA
rnacentral:rRNA from 1 species